AGUAACUGCGAGUGAAGUGGGAAAAGCUCAAAUUUAAAAUCUGGCAGUCAUUUGAUUGUCCGAGUUGUAAUCUAGAGAAGUGUUGCCCGUGCUGGACCAUGUACAAGUCUCCUGGAAUGGAGCAUCACAGAGGGUGAGAAUCCUGUCUUUGACAUGGACUACCAGUGCUUUUGUGGUAUGCUCUCAAAGAGUCGAGUUGUUUGGGAAUGCAGCUCAAAACGGGUGGUAAAUGCCAUCUAAAGCUAAAUAUUGGCGAGAGACCGAUAGCGAACAAGUACCGUGAGGGAAAGAUGAAAAGAACUUUGGAAAGAGAGUUAAACAGUACGUGAAAUUGCUGAAAGGGAAACGCUUGAAGUCAGUCACGUUGACUUGAAAUCAGCUCUGCUUUUGCUGGGUGUACUUUCUUGUUCAAUGGGUCAGCAUCAAUUUUGAUCAUUGGAUAAAGUUAUUGGGAAUGUAGCAUCUUUAGAUGUGUUAUAGCCCAGUGAUGCAUACAGUGGUUGGGAUUGAGGAGCUCAGCACGCCACCAGGCCGGGUUUUGACCACGUUCGUGCUUAGGAUGCUGGCAUAAUGGCUUUAAUUGACCCGUCUUGAAACACGGACCAAGGAGUCUAACAUAUCUGCGAGUGUUUGGGUGGAAAACCCAUGUGCAUAAUGAAAGUGAAAGUUGAGAUCCCUUUCUCUGAGGGAGCAUCGACGCCCGGACCAGACCUUUUGUGAUGGAUCCGCGGUAGAGCAUGUAUGUUGGGACCCGAAAGAUGGUGAACUAUGCCUGAAUAGGGUGAAGCCAGAGGAAACUCUGGUGGAGGCUCGUAGCGAUUCUGACGUGCAAAUUGAUCGUCAAAUUUGGGUAUAGGG
rnacentral:rRNA from 1 species